UACGAAGGGGGCUAGCGUUGUUCGGAUUUACUGGGCGUAAAGCGCACGUAGGCGGAUCUUUAAGUCAGGGGUGAAAUCCUGGAGCUCAACUCCAGAACUGCCCUUGAUACUGGCGGUCUCGAGUCCGGGAGAGGUGAGUGGAACUGCGAGUGUAGAGGUGAAAUUCGUAGAUAUUCGCAAGAACACCAGUGGCGAAAGCGGCUCACUGGCCCGGUACUGACGCUGAGGUGCGAAAGCGUGGGGAGCAA
rnacentral:rRNA from 1 species